AGAGUUUGAUCCUGGCUCAGGAUGAACGCUGGCGGCGUGCUUAACACAUGCAAGUCGAACGGGGAUACGCGCUGAAGAAGCUUCGGCGGAUUCUUGCGUAUCUUAGUGGCGGACGGGUGAGUAACGCGUGGGUAACCUGCCUUGUACUGGGGGAUAACAGUUGGAAACGACUGCUAAUACCGCAUAAGCGCCCGGUAUCGCAUGAUACGGAGUGAAAAACUGAGGUGGUACAAGAUGGACCCGCGUCUGAUUAGCUGGUUGGUGGGGUAACGGCCCACCAAGGCGACGAUCAGUAGCCGGCCUGAGAGGGUGAACGGCCACAUUGGGACUGAGACACGGCCCAAACUCCUACGGGAGGCAGCAGUGGGGAAUAUUGCACAAUGGGGGAAACCCUGAUGCAGCGACGCCGCGUGAGUGAAGAAGUAUUUCGGUAUGUAAAGCUCUAUCAGCAGGGAAGAAAAUGACGGUACCUGACUAAGAAGCCCCGGCUAACUACGUGCCAGCAGCCGCGGUAAUACGUAGGGGGCAAGCGUUAUCCGGAUUUACUGGGUGUAAAGGGAGCGUAGACGGUAUGGCAAGUCUGAAGUGAAAACCCGAGGCUCAACCCCGGGACUGCUUUGGAAACUGUCAAACUGGAGUGCAGGAGAGGUAAGUGGAAUUCCUAGUGUAGCGGUGAAAUGCGUAGAUAUUAGGAGGAACACCAGUGGCGAAGGCGGCUUACUGGACUGUAACUGACGUUGAGGCUCGAAAGCGUGGGGAGCAAACAGGAUUAGAUACCCUGGUAGUCCACGCCGUAAACG
rnacentral:rRNA from 1 species